rnacentral:tRNA from 2 species
GGGGCUGGUGGGGGCUCCUGGGUCGUGAUCAGAUCAGCCCCAGAUGCCGUUCCUGCAGGUCAAGCCGUCAACGCUGAGCGAGUCACUCGUAAUGACCGGGUCGUCGGUCCGAUUCCGACAGACGGCUCCACCA